rnacentral:rRNA from 1 species
UACGUAGGGGGCGAGCGUUGUCCGGAUUUAUUGGGCGUAAAGAGCUCGUAGGCGGUUCGAUAAGUCGGAUGUGAAAUCUCCACGCUCAACGUGGAGGGGCCAUUCGAUACUGUCGUGACUCGAGUCCGGUAGGGGAGUGUGGAAUUCCCGGUGUAGCGGUGAAAUGCGCCAGAGAUCGGGAGGAACACCCGGUAGCGAAGGCGGCACUCGUGGGCCGGUACUGGACGCUGAGGAGCGAAAGCGUGGGGAGCAA